ACUGUUCACAAUAGCCAAGAUUUGGAAGCAACCUAAGUGUCCACCAAGAGAUGAAUGGAUAAAGAAAAUAUGGUACUUAUAUACAAUGGAGUAUACUCAGCCAUAAAAAAGAAUGAGAUCCAGUCAUUUGCAACAACAUGGAUGGAAAUGGAGAUCAUUACGUUAAGUGAAAUCAGCCAGUUCUGGAGGCCAGGAAUUUAAGCUGAGUGUUAUGUGGCUAAAAUCAAGGUAUCAUCAGGGCUGCUUCCUUCUGUCAGCUCCAGAGAGAAUACGUUCCUUGUUUCUGCCAGCUUCAGACAGACCACCUUGCAAAGGACAGCUGCAUACUCAACCUGCCGCUGUUUCUCCUGGAGGCCAACCUGGUGACCUUCCUCUUCCCUCUGGACCGCCUGAGAAGGGCGGCAGAAAAGGAGAUGGUGACAAGAUGCCUCUGCACAACCUCGCCAUGGUUUUGGCCCCAUGAUGCUCUGGCUUUCUAGUCUUCAUUGCUUUGUCUCCAACUCAAGCAUAGUUUUUGUUUGUUUGUUUGUUUGUUUUACUCAUUCUUGAGAGGAAGCCAUUAGCUUUCUUUGGAUGCUUUGUCAUUUAUCUUAUGUGACUACACCAGUUAAUCAAAGGAUCACUUGCUGCUCUUCUUCCACUAAAACAACACCCACUUCAUGCUCAUUGUCUAAAGUGGGGGCAUCAUUUGUAACUACAGAUACUAAUUGUGGGGAUCCCAGGUUUAUUAUGUGGGAGAGACUGAGACUCCCCUCAUCUGUCCCCUGAGGAGGGUUCAUAGGUGAGUGAGAAAGGGACAAGGCAGCGAUGUGGACAUCUCCCCACAUUGCCCAAGGGGCAUUGCUUCCUAGUGAGGAAACUCUCGCUGCAGUUUUCUGGCAGGGAAAUAAUACAAUCUCCAGAUCAUUUAUCAAUUUUGUUUUUUUUAAAUAAAUAUUUUGCCAUUAUUAGAUGAGUAUAUAAAAAAUAAAUAAUAUGGAUUUAUCUUGCAGUGUACCAUUUAACUCCAUCCCAAAAUAGAUCUAUUAUCUUCUCUUUUGUUCAAUGAAUACUAUUCAUACCUAGGCAAAACUGUUGCUGUUACUCAUGAUUUAAGGGCAUUAGGAAUACAACUCUAGGGAAAAAAUACUGCUAUUGGAAACCAAAAAGAGUGUCUGGGACAGGUGUCAAUCUAUUUAGAGGUUUUUUUCACCAAGGUUGAGGAUGCACCCGGGAAAAAGAGACACAAGCCACAGUGGAAUCUGUGGCCUGCACUUUUUCCAAAGAGUUUUGAGGGUUUCAAUAUUUAUAGGGGAAAAAGCAGGCCAAAGGGAAAGGAAAGAAGACAAAAAGGGGAGAGUAGAAAAAAUGAGACAAGUGGUCUCAUUGUCUUGAGGCUUUCAUUAGUUCUCACUGAAGCCACAGGUUGCCCAUGAAAAGGAGGGGGUAGAGGAACAGCUGAUUAUGUGCUCGCCUGGCACUGGUAAGGCUGCACCUCACAUGAGAUAAAGCAAACAUAGAGUAGAGGAAGCAUCAACAUGCAUUUGUCUUGGGGUGGUGGUAGGAAUAUUUCUAGUUUCCUUUUGUCCUGUAUCCCUGAAGAUAAGUUGCUAAUUUACAUGGUCAGGGUGAGGGAGGUAACCUGGAAAGAUAUGUUUAGGAACAAAAGGAAAGAUGGUUUCUGGGUGUGACUCAGUUUCCAAGUUUAACUUUCCCUUUUGGCAUAGCGAGUUUGGGGUCCCAACAUUUUAUUUUCCUUUUACACUAUUGACUACUAACAGUCUUUGUUGUUAAAUUCCAUCUGUUUUAAAAUUUUAAUAAAAUAUUUAUAUCAUAAAAUAUAAAUUAUUCACUUAUAAGAUUAAUAUAAAUAAUAUUAACAAAACAUUGUCUUGAAAAAUGUAGUUUGACAAAGUUUCAAUCUGAGUAAAAGAUAGUAUCUUAAAUACAGUAUUUUUUCACUGCUGGUGAGAGAGAAUCUAAACUUUCUGUGAAGACUAAGAAAGUCUCACAUUCUUGGUGCACGCCAGGAAGCCCCGUGUUCCUUGGAUGUGGAGGAGUUGAACAUGAAGGAGCUGGCUGUGAUGUCAGCAUGUGAAGGUGGAGGAACUCCAGCCCAGGAGGGGCUCCUGGAUCCACCCGCCCCAGAUGGACUCGAGGUGGGGAAGGCAGCCUGGAGGCUUGGGAGGCCUGAGUAGAGAGGAGGGAACAGCGCUCCCUUAAGACCCAGGCCCACUCCCAGGGAAGGGAGCAGCAGGGCCACACUCUUGGCCACCUUGGAAGAGCUCCUUGCUGUGGGCUGAUUCCCACGACCUUGUCUAGGGAUUCCAGCAUUUUAGGUAGCUCCUCCAUUGCCUUCGUUGGUUAGAGCAUUUGGAACUUUUCUUUUUCACUUCUCGAACCAAAGAAGUUAAUUCCUUCAUCGAUACCAAGUUGGCACUCUUCACCUUUUUGUAAGCAUCUGCAAGGCUGGGAAUAUUUAAAGACUCCUUCUUUAGCCAGGCAUUCUCUAGUGCUGCCUCCAUCUCUGCAUACUCCUUUUUCAAAACACCAAGCUUCUAAAUGAAUUGAUUUUUUUCUCACAUUCUGCAGCCUGUGUUUUGUGAGUCACUUUUCAUGUCUUACAUAAAGUCAGCUUCUAACAGAUUCAACAAGUCUGAACAAAAAUAAAAGACCUACCAAGAAGCUGAUGAGACCAGUGUCUCCCCUGAUGGCUUUGGAAAGUGAGUUGUGGACUGAAGCCAUUGGGCAGCAUCUUAUAUAUCACCUCACACAUUUCGUAAAUAUCAGCCCCAAACGAAGUUUCACAGAAGAUCCCGGCCCCUCCAUCCCUGCAACCAUGGAUUCUGCACCACAACAAACCCUGGGGAACACCUCAGCAUUCCACCUGGAAUCAACCAGGAACAGGCAGCCUAUACUAGUCAGUUUCAUGGUCACCAUCAAGGAGGAUUAGUAAAUAAACAUGCUUGUCUCCUUACUGUCUAGUAAUCAGUCUUCUUUACCUGUUUCUUAUUGUAUGUGUAUCAACAGACAAUUAAAAUAUAGUGAAAGGUGCCAAUCUUAAGUGUAUAGCUUGAAUAAGCCUUUAAAAUGUUAUACCCCCACUGCGUCCUGCAACCCUAUCAAGGUAUGAGUCCUGUGUAUCAACACAGAAAUCCCCCCCAGUUCCUUUCCAAUCAGUGUCCACUCGCCCUGACUCACGCAGCCUUGGAGAAGGUUGCUCUGAACACAUCCCAGUUGAGCCUCAGCAUCAAGGUCAUGGAAUCAAUUACAAUGUGCUUUCUGAUCUCUGCCUGCUUUGCUCAAAGUGUUUUUGAAACUUAUCUGUUCU
rnacentral:lncRNA from 1 species